rnacentral:rRNA from 1 species
CUCCUACGGGAGGCAGCAGUCGGGAAUAUUGCGCAAUGGAGGAAACUCUGACGCAUGGACGCCGCGUGCAGGAAGAAGGUUUUCGGAUUGUAAACUGCUUUAGACAGGGAAGAAACAAGACAGUACCUGUAGAAUAAGCUCCGGCUAACUACGUGCCAGCAGCCGCGGUAAUACGUAGGGAGCAAGCGUUAUCCGGAUUUAUUGGGUGUAAAGGGUGCGUAGACGGGAAAUUAAGUUAGUUGUGAAAUCCCUCGGCUUAACUGAGGAACUGCAACUAAAACUGAUUUUCUUGAGUGCUGGAGAGGAAAGUGGAAUUCCUAGUGUAGCGGCGAAAUGCGUAGAUAUUAGGAGGAACACCAGUGGCGAAGGCGACUUUCUGGACAGUAACUGACGUUGAGGCACGAAAGUGUGGGGAGCAAACAGGAUUAGAUACCCUGGUAGUCCACACCGUAAACGAUGGAUACUAGGUGUAGGGUGUGAUAAACAUUCUGUGCCGUCGCAAACGCAGUAAGUAUCCCACCUGGGGAGUACGGCCGCAAGGUUGAAACUCAAAGGAAUUGACGGGGGCCCGCACAAGCAGUGGAGUAUGUGGUUUAAUUCGACGCAACGCGAAGAACCUUACCAGGGCUUGACAUAUACAUGAAAGUCUAAGAGAUUAGACCCCUCUUCGGAGCGUGUAUACAGGUGGUGCAUGGUUGUCGUCAGCUCGUGUCGUGAGAUGUUGGGUUAAGUCCCGCAACGAGCGCAACCCCUGUUCUUAGUUACCGGCGAGUUAAGUCGGGAACUCUAAGAAGACUGCCGGUGAUAAAUCGGAGGAAGGUGGGGACGACGUCAAAUCAUCAUGCCCUUUAUGUCCUGGGCUACACACGUACUACAAUGGCUGUAACAAAGGGAAGCUAAGCCGCGAGGUGGAGCAAAACCCAAAAAAGCAGUCUCAGUUCGGAUUGAAGGCUGAAAUUCGCCUUCAUGAAGCCGGAAUUGCUAGUAAUGGCAGGUCAGCAUACUGCCGUGAAUACGUUCCCGGGCCUUGUACACACCGC